UACGAAGGGUGCAGGCGUUACUCGGAAUUACUGGGCGUAAAGCGUGCGUAGGUGGUUUGUUAAGUCUGUUGUGAAAGCCCCGGGCUCAACCUGGGAAUGGCAAUGGAUACUGGCAAGCUAGAGUGCGGUAGAGGAUAGUGGAAUUCCCGGUGUAGCGGUGAAAUGCGUAGAGAUCGGGAGGAACACCAGUGGCGAAGGCGGCUACCUGGACCAGCACUGACACUGAGGCACGAAAGCGUGGGGAGCAAACAGG
rnacentral:rRNA from 1 species